rnacentral:rRNA from 1 species
AACGAACGCUGGCGGCGUGCCUAACACAUGCAAGUCGUGCGAGAAAGUUCCUUCGGGAGCGAGUAAAGCGGCGCACGGGUGAGUAACACGUAGGUAACCUGCCCCCCAGUCUGGAACAACUAGAGGAAACUCUAGCUAAUGCCGGAUAAGACCACGGCCCCCUCGGGGGGCUGCGGCCAAAGAUGGCCUCUACUUGUACGCUAUCGCUGAGGGAUGGGCCUGCGGGCCAUUAGCUUGUUGGUGAGGUAACGGCUCACCAAGGCUGUGAUGGCUAGCUGGUCUGAGAGGAUGACCAGCCACACUGGGACUGAGACACGGCCCAGACUCCUACGGAGGCAGCAGUGGGGAAUAUUGCGCAAUGGGCGAAAGCCUGACGCAGCGACGCCGCGUGGGUGAUGAAGGCCUCGGUCGUAAG